UUCUCAUUUGAGAAACGCUGCUGGCCGAGUUCCGCCGCAACGAGAAGCUGUGGAGAGUGGAUCGUCUACGACAUGAAAGUUGGCAUGAUUGAUUAAUUGAGGAACUUCGAAAAUCUCUAGUGGACAACAUUGAAGAGAGGAAUGAAAUCGUCGUUAAGCAGGCUAGGGGAUCUCUAGUGAAGUUACUUUGAUGAUUAAGUCAAAAAUUAACAGUGACAUAAAAAUGGAAGAAUGUAAGGGCAAAUUUCUUGAUGUACGCGCAUACCUACGUCAACGGAGGACACCAUUUUAUUAUGCCUCUUCCAAUCUCCGUACACCAUUUUAUUAUGCCUCUUCCAAUCUCCGUAUUUGAUGAGAUAUUAUUUUUCUA